AAGUGCUACAGCUCAUUUAGAAUUUGGCUAGCAAGUUUUCCAGUUUUUACCAGAAAAUCCUA
rnacentral:snRNA from 1 species